rnacentral:rRNA from 1 species
UACGUAGGGCGCAAGCGUUGUCCGGAAUUAUUGGGCGUAAAGAGCUCGUAGGUGGCUUGUCACGUCGGGUGUGAAAGCUUGGGGCUUAACUCCAGGUCUGCAUUCGAUACGGGCUGGCUAGAGGUAGGUAGGGGAGAACGGAAUUCCUGGUGUAGCGGUGGAAUGCGCAGAUAUCAGGAGGAACACCAAUAGCGAAGGCAGCUCGCUGGGACGUUACUGACACUGAGGCGCGAAAGCGUGGGGAGCGAACAGG